GUGGGGAAUAUUGGGCAAUGGGCGAAAGCCUGACCCAGCGACGCCGCGUGAAGGAAGACGGUCUUCGGAUUGUAAACUUCUUUUAUAUGGGACGAAACAAAUGACGGUACCAUAUGAAUAAGCCACGGCUAACUACGUGCCAGCAGCCGCGGUAAUACGUAGGUGGCGAGCGUUAUCCGGAUUUACUGGGUGUAAAGGGUGUGUAGGCGGGACUGCAAGUCAGAUGUGAAAAUCACGGGCUUAACCUGUGACCUGCAUUUGAAACUGUGGUUCUUGAGGGUCGGAGAGGUAACUGGAAUUCCUGGUGUAGCGGUGAAAUGCGUAGAUAUCAGGAGGAACACCGGUGGCGAAGGCGGGUUACUGGACGAUUACUGACGCUGAGACACGAAAGCGUGGGGAGCAAACAGGA
rnacentral:rRNA from 1 species